rnacentral:rRNA from 1 species
UACGGGGGGGGCAAGCGUUGUUCGGAAUUACUGGGCGUAAAGGGCUCGUAGGCGGCCAACUAAGUCGGAUGUGAAAUCCCCAAGCUUAACUUGGGAACUGCAUCCGAUACUGGAUGGCUUGAAUCCGGGAGAGGGAUGCAGAAUUCCAGGUGUAGCGGUGAAAUGCGUAGAUAUCAGGAAGAACACCGGUGGCGAAAGCGCUCUGCUAGGCCGCAACUGACACUGAGGGACGAAAGGCUAGGGGAGCGAAUGGG